ensembl:lncRNA
AGCCUGGUGAAGCUGGAGUUAUCUGGGUCCGUUGGAAUCUCACAGGGAGCGAACAGCCACCUCCACUCAGACCCCGCCCCCGGCCCAUUCACUCGGAAUCUCUGGGGCGGAGCUUUCUACCGGCUCCCUGGGCUGAGCCCGCCCGUCUGCUGGCGGGAAGCCAGAGGUCCGGGCUGAGGGCCCUGUGCCACAGGCUCUCAGCACGAUGCCUUCCUGCGCGAGCCCAAACUUGUGUGCCUCAGCUUCCUUGUCGGCUUCGAGGGGAUAAAGAUGCCUGUCCUGGGCUGCCCUGGGGUUGGGGGUGGUGCCCCUGCAUCCCCAAGUGGACGGUGAGCGAGAGGGCAGGAGCCACAGCUUCCUCGGUGCUGCGUGCAGAAGGGGAAGGGCCGUCCGUGGGAACCGGGACCCAGGCGGAAAGGAAGGCCAGGUGUCUCCACUUAUCAUAAGAGUCUCCAGCGUACAGUUCUCGGUACAGUUCUCCAGAUCCCCAGACCUAGACUUGUAGUCCUGGAAGGAAGGUUUGACCAUCCCCCACUUGGGAUUCCCAAACACCAGGCUGGGGACUGGGGCCAGCCUGUGACAAGCAAAGACCUGUCAGAGGCAAAAUGAAACCAGUGAGCACAAGGCAAAGAGGAGCUUCUGCCGGUGGGAAGGGCCAGGUAAGCCCCAAGCCUGCCCUUGUUCAAGGCCGGGGGAUGGCCGGCUGCCCUCCACCUGCACUCCAGCAGAUGGCGCUGUGGGGGCUGCCUCCCCUGCCCUCCACCUGCACUCCAGCAGGCAGCGCUGUGGACUUCGGCUGGGGCUGCCUCUACGCGGGGACGCAUGGAGAGCCCAAGAGAGGCAGGACGGGCGAUGUUUCCACUUGCAAAGUGGGGAGAGCAUCCUUCAUGGUCCCCAUGCCCCCUCGCUCCAGAGAAGAGGAGUGGGGUGAAAAUCCAAGCCCAUUUUCAAGUGCUUCGUUUCUAAAUUAUCCUGGAACUGUGGCGUUUGGAGUUGAGAAGAACCUUCGAGAUCUCAUCCCAGACAGAACAAACCGUGCGCAUUCCCUGAUCUCUGAAUAUAGCCCCCACCCGGCGCUGAGGUGCUGGGGUUUGGUUUCUCCUACAGAGGGAUCUUCCCUCUACUGUUAGGGCCCCGUCAGGCAGGUGAGAAGGUCGGGUCUCAGAGAGGCUGAGAGACUCACACCAGGGCCUGCAGCCCCUGACUGGGAGGCAGGGCUGGAAGUCUGACCCCACACGCCCAAACCGGAAGCUCUUGAUGAUGCGGUCUGCAGCCCCAAGGCCCCUGGAGGGCUGGACACCCCAGCUCCCUGCCCUGCAGCCUUCUCCUGUAGUAAGGACCUUGACGAUCCAUCUUCAUCCUCAUCCAACCAGGCCCACCUCUCAGACUCCAGAACUGCAGCCCUGAACAGGGCACACAGGGGCCUCCUGGGGCCUGAGUCUGUGUCCCCAUCAGAGGAGAGCACUGGGGUGUCUGGGCAGCUGACGCUGUUUAGAUCAGAAGGUGAGAGAAGGUGGCCAAGACCUGGCAGGGAGAUGGCAGGUGCAAAGGCCCAGGGCAGAGACCAGCCUGAUUUGCUGUGAUCACAUCUGAGAAAGAAAGGGAACCAUGGGUGUGACUGAAAGGUCCUCAGGUCACCGUGAUCAUCAUCAUUGGCCUCCUCACAGUAGCUGAUGUUUAUAGAAUGCUUGCUCAACACAGGCUCAGUGCUAACAA